AGAUCUCCCUGUACUACCUGUACAGUUCCAGAUCCCCCUGUACCUGGACCCUCUGUAUCAGCCCGCCCACCUGUACGUGUACAAUCAGACCCCUUUGAUAGUGACAGUGACCCAGAUGACCCUGAGCCUUUCCAUGGUUUUGAUGCCUCGCCCUAUACAUCAGAUCUAGAUGUUCCCUCAUCAGUUGAUACGAGUAUCACCUCUCCAGAGCCCAAAUCAGUUGAUACGAGUAGUAUCACCUCUCCCAUUCCUUCAGACUCCCAAGCACCUGCCCAUCCCACUCCAUAGCCCAGCCACCCACUCCCAUGCA